GAAAAACAUGAAAAAAUAAAGAAGAAAAAUAAGACCGAGAGAGAGAGAGAGAGAGAGGGAGAGAGGAUGAUGCAACUACACUGUAAAAUUUCUAGCAGAUCAAUCCAUAAAGAAACAUCUAAUACUAUAGAAGUUGGCAGAUUUUUCAAAAUUCUUAACACCUCUGAAGAGUUGAAGUAAUCAAUCACCUCACAUUACAUAAAUGUUAUAUGUAGAGUCCUUGAAUUAUCUAAGAUACCCAUGCUCUACAGAUGGAAAGUUGUCAUAGAUGAACGGUGCACAAUAUUUAUAUUGUCAAAGAGUAAAUAAAGAAAUAUCAAAGAGAUCAAAGUCUUCACGAUCAUCAUUAUAGUGAUAGAACUCACCAGGUUUAGAUCAUCGUCUUCAUUCCAUAUUCCUCGAAAUAUGAAUUAAAGUAGCCACUGCUUUAAACCACUCAAAAAAGAAGUAUCGUGAUUAUUUUCUACAUGUUGUGAACCAUUCCCAACAUGAUUUGUAGACAACUGAUGCAAUUUACUUUCGUCAGGGGAAGUGCAGUUGGACUUGCUAUUAAACAAACUCGAAGCAAGAGAGCACAGCGACGGAACUAACAAAACAUCUAUUUAAAGAAAGAGAUCAAAGGUUUUUGAGUAGAGAUCACAGUUUCAUUCUUCCUUGUGAUGCUUUUUAAACCUCACCCACAGGACCUACAACCCACUCACUUCAAGGAGCAGUCUUCUAAAAGUAGUGAUAUGUUAGAACACAGGAAGUGGGAGCUUCAGUAAAUCAAAUGAAUCACCAGCUAUAUGUUAUUUGAAUCAGACAUUUGAAAACAUAUUCAUACAGCCAAUGAUUCUGAUUGUUGAUUUCGAAAUCCUGAAUCUGCUAUUCGAGUUUUAAUCUUGUAGAAUACUUAACAGAAUCUUGUACAAAAAAAAAACAUUCACUGAAAGAUGAUAUAUUUUUCAGCCAACCCAACUAGAACCACUGUGGUCAAGAAUUUUUUUUCUAAAAGUCUCUGAGGUGAUAAUAUCAGAUCGAGCCAAAAUGGUAAAUAUGAGCAAAAACAGUGUCUUUUUCUCUGUUUGAAGUGUUCUGCAUGCAGUUGAGUAGGAAUAACAGAUCACCCGAUAAAUAUUAAGAAUAGUUCCAUCACUUGCCUGCGCACUAGAGUUGAGGAACAGUUCAUCAUCUUCAUGGAAAAAUUUCUCAAUUGCACGCACAUCAACAAAGUUGCCAGAGUCCCUAAUCUGGAGAUUGUGUAUUCUUUAAUAACGCAGAGAGACUAUGGCCAAUAAAUCUUCAUACAAGAAGACACCCAUGCUAUGUGCUAAAUUAACAUAAUCGUUGCAAAAAACCCUCUAAUCAAGUAUUACUCCAUCUUCCAGUCUAGGUAAUUAAGAUCAAACCAUAACAAUGACAAACUAGGUUAGUAUUAGUGCUGUGAAACUCUAAAGUCAAAAUAGACAAUACACACCUCAAGAGGUGAAAGGUUAUCUUUUCAAUGGAUGGGACUCCUCGAAUUGCACCUCCAACAGCAGGUGCAUCAUGAAUUUGAACAGUUGAAGUUGCAAUUAUUCCAAAUUGUUUGCCUUCUAUGUAAAGGAAGAAAUCUUGGCAUAUAAGUUCACCACUGGAAGCAAGAGUAGCACUAUAUAGUUGGGUGAAGAAACUCUCAAAUCUGUUGGCAUCAUUUGGAAGGUCAUGAGCAUAACAAUCUUCUACUUCGCACGAAAAUGACAACCAAGUUGGUCUAUAAACAAUGAGAUCCUGAUGGUUCCUGCUGAAAGUUAUGAGAUACAGUCCGUCGUCUGUGAACUUACGAAAGGAAAGAUCGGGGCAUUCAAUGUCAUAUAUGGUAUGACUUGGGACUAUUUUCUCGUAAAAUCGCCUGGCACAAUGAACCUGGGAGAAUCAACAAAUGAUUUGGUGCUCAUUACAAAACGUACUCAAAAUUGACAGACUUACUGCAGAAACCUCAAAUAAAGAAUGCAUCUACGAAUGAAGCUGGAAAAAGAAAGCCAGAGUUUUACGAAGAGCAUGACAGCGCCCAACACAAGCUGUCAGGAUUCAUAAUCCGUAAAAACAAAAUAUGAUUAAUCUCAAACUUUAUCAUCUCACCCGAUCUUGAGUAUAAUAUCUCAAACUAAAUUGUGGGCUCAAAAAUUGAAACCUCGAUUUCUCAUAAAAUAGCUGAAUGAUUUUUUGCUCGUCUAUCAUACCUCAAGCUAAGCUACUCAUUGAAUAUCUGAAAACUGACAAAAAAAUAAAAAAUAAAUAAAAAUGAAUUCUGCUUUAAUCAUUUCCUCUAUGUUUGGGAGUAAGAAAUAGGGAAGUACUUAAAAAAACUUUCUGAUUCUAAUUUCAGAAGCCAACUCCAUGCUCCCAGAAAGAGCAACAGUAAUCACUGAAAAAGGGGAGAUCUUGAUCAAUCCUCCACCUUAUAUUUCCAUAUAAAUCCUCAAAACAGCAAAAUACAAUCAAAUUGACAGAAAAGAAGAAGAAAUAGACUGGUGCUAGGAGCAGGACUAGAAACUUGACGCUCAAAAAUCCGGGCCGUAACAUUGAUGCUUCUAAACAUUAGUAAUCCUUGUUCUGUUCUGAUUAAUUGAUUCUCUCAAUCUGCUUGCUUCUUCUUCAUACCACGUGGUUGUGGAAAAACAGUAAUGCAUGAUCUUCAGAGGGUUUUUGGGUACUGCAUAGUGGUGGAAGUGGAGGAAUUGAGUGGAUGGAUUGGAUGAAGAAGAAUACAAACAGAGAAUGGAACGGGAGUUUUUGUGUGGGAGCGUGUGUACGCGCACUCAAAAU
rnacentral:lncRNA from 1 species